rnacentral:lncRNA from 1 species
CUAAAGGCAAAUCCAAAGCCUCAUCAUCAUCCUCUUCCAGUGCUAGUACUGCUGCAUUCGAUUUGGAUGAUCCAGCGGGAGACGAUUGUUAUGGGAUACUCAAAGUCUCAUAAAUAUUAUCUCCUUCUUUAAAAGCCCAUGGGUUGAAAACCAGAAAUGGUAGCCCAAGGUUAUUUGUGUUGGGCCAAAAAGCCCACACUAAAGCCCAAAAAAAGAAAAGAAAAAGAAAAAAGAAAAAGAAAAAGAAAAGAAAAGAAAAAGACAAAAGACAAAAGAAAAAGAAAAGUAAAAAAAGCAAAAGAUUCCUUCAAAGCAUGGCCGACAACUUUCUCAAAAGACGGUUGGCAUUAUCAAAAGACUCCAAAGCAUGUGAAGCAUCUCCACAAGACUCCAAAGACAAGUGGAAUCAUUUCUACUCCACUAAGCAAAGCAUCCAAAGCCCGUGACAAGUAUCCAAAGCUCCAAGACCUCUAUAUAUAGAGGAGUCCUCCUUCUUCAUCCCUCAGAAC